GCUGCCUCUCGCCCCUGGGUCUGGGACAACAGCACUCUCUGGAUGUGCAUCUGGCAGGAGCUAGAGGCCGGAGGGCAGACCCUGGGAGGGGAUGCAGGGAGGCUCAGAGGUGGCCUCAGAGGUGCUCAGAGACGGCCACGCCCUCGGCCACAUCCUCUAGGGAGAGUGGAGUCGGGCUGAGGAGGAACCCCCCCUGAGCAACUCGGAGCCUGUGCCUCGUCACACGCUCUGUGUCUCUCUGUCCCGCUGCCUCUGAGGACUGGGGCUGUGCUGGCGCCCAUGGGACCAGGUCCAGGCAGGGGUCCUUCCCAAACCCUCCAUCCGGGCUGCCCCGGGACCCACUGUCCCAAGGGGAGCCCUGUGACCCUCUGGUGUCAGGGGUCCCCACAGGCUGAUGUCUACCGUCUGUAUAAAGUGGGGGACUCUGGACUCUGGGAGGAUGAAGCCACACAGGACUCCAGGAACACAGCCCGGUUCCACUUUGAAUCCUUGAGCUCCCGCCAUGCAGGGCGGUACCAGUUUACUUAUCAGAGCAGGAACAGCUCGUCCAGGCGGAGUGACCCCCUGGCCCUCGUGGUGACAGGUAAGAGGGAGGACCCGGGUCCCUCCCACCCGGGGCUCCUCCUCACAGGCAGGGCGAGCAGACUGUGGGCUCAGGGGGCCUGUCCCCUCACAGCACACAGCUGGGGAGUGGGGUGAAGGCCCCCCUUUAACACCAUCCCUCCUGCCCCCUCAGGACUGUACACAGCACCCUCCCUCUCAGCCCACCCGAGCCCCAUGGUGGCAUCAGGAGGGAACGUGUCCCUCUCCUGUAGCUCACAGUUCUGGUCAGGCAUACUACACCUGCUGAAGGAGGGAGGCGCUGACGCACCCUGACGUAGCGGGUGGAGGAAAUUCGGGAACUCGGGAGGGAGGCAGACCCUCUUCCCUGUGGGCCCCGUGAACGCCUCCCACGGGGGCACCUACAGAUGCUAUGAUUCCCCCAGCUCCCAUCAAUACGUGUGGUCAUGGCCCAGUGACCCUCUGCAUCUCCAGGUCAAAGGUGUGGGCACUCAGACCCAUCUAUUUCCUGGACCCUUGAUCUAAGCUUGGUGCCCAGUGGAGUCCUGGGGCUAAGGGGGCACCAGGGAAGGGACUCACAUGAGAUUCGCAGGGGAACUAUGAGCGGGAGGCUUUGGGGCGAUCUAAGUGAACUCUCCCUGCAGCCCCAGGGAACAAUGUGGGGGGCACGUCCCUCAGGGCCACCGCCCCUGCCUCCCCAGGUGUGUACAG
rnacentral:lncRNA from 1 species